GACGAACGCUGGCGGCGUGCUUAACACAUGCAAGUCGAACGCAGUGGCGAACGGGUGAGUAAUGCGUAAUUAACUUGCCCUUCAGAGGGGGACAACAGUUGGAAACGACUGCUAAUACCGCAUACUGAAGGAGGGGAUUGCGUCUGAUUAGCUAGUUGGUGGGGUAACGACCCACCAAGGCGAUGAUCAGUAGGCGGUCUGGGGGGAUGAACGGCUACAUUGGGACUGAGACACGGCCCAGACUCCUACGGGAGGCAACAGUGGGGAAUUGUCCGCAAUGGACGAAAGGCGUGCGAAGCAACGGCGCGUGGGUGAUGACGGCCUUCGGGUUGUAAAGCUCUGUUAAUCGGGACGCGGUACCGGAAUAGAAAGCCACGGCUAACUACGUGCCAGCAGCCGCGGUAAUUC
rnacentral:rRNA from 1 species